AACGCGAAGAACCUUACCUAGUCUUGACAUCCCGAUGACCGUUCCGUAAUGGGGACUUCUCUUCGGAGCAUCGGAGACAGGUGGUGCAUGGUUGUCGUCAGCUCGUGUCGUGAGAUGUUGGGUUAAGUCCCGCAACGAGCGCAACCCUUAUCUUUAGUAGCCAGCAAUUCGGAUGGGAACUCUAGAGAGACUGCCGGGGAUAACCCGGAGGAAGGUGGGGAUGACGUCAAAUCAUCAUGCCCCUUAUGAUCAGGGCUACACACGUGCUACAAUGGCGUAAACAAAGGGAGGCGAAGCCGUGAGGUGAAGCAAAUCCCAAAAAUAACGUCUCAGUUCGGAUUGUAGUCUGCAACUCGACUACAUGAAGCUGGAAUCGCUAGUAAUCGCGAAUCAGCAUGUCGCGGUGAAUACGUUCCCGGGUCUUGUACACACCG
rnacentral:rRNA from 1 species